UUUUAGUAAAAAUAUCUUUAAAAAACUAUUAUUUUAGAACUUAGAAUUUUUUUAACAACAUGAAAAUUGUUUUGCUUUUCAUUAAAGCUAAAAGUCUUGGAAAUAUCAAGGAUAUCGGUUUUACAGAUAAGCCUACAGUACCAAAAUAACAACAAAAAAUCAGACACAACAACUAAACAAGUUGUAUUAGACUAGAAAGACACUAGCGGCAAAGAAUCAAAGCUAUGACAGAAAGCAACAAGGC
rnacentral:lncRNA from 1 species